CCUUGUUACUGCACUCAGAGGUGUUUAUAUUAAGGCCUAAAGCCUUUAAACUUGUUACUAGACUUGUACUCUGAGGUUUUUAUAUUAAGGUCUAAAGCCUUUAAACUUGUUACUAGACUUGUACUCAGAGGUUUUUAUAUUAAGGUCUAAAGCCAUUAAACUUGUUACUAGACUUGUACUCAGAGGUUUUUAUAUUAAGGUCUAAAGUCUUUAAACUUGUUACUAGACUUGUACUCAGAGGUUUUUAUAUUAAGGUCUAAAGCCUUUAAACUUGUUACUAGACUUGUUUUCAGGAUAUCUGGGCCCACCUUUGGGAACACGCAUGUCAAAUUUUACUGCUUUGUUAAAUCCACUUUUUUAUUGGUGUUUAUUGGUAUACAUCCUGGAGUACGAUUGUAAAAAGAAAUCUAGUUUCAUCCAGUAUCUGAAGUAUAUACAGUCACUACCGAAUAAAGAAAAUACAAAACAUUUUUGGAUUUCUUCUUUGUUUUUCAGGAUGAAUGUGUCCUGUAUGUUUACAGAGCGAGACUCCCGUGUGAUCAGGGGUUAUUUUGGUAGAAAUGUUCUCUUUAUUUCAAGCUUUGAACCAUGUCUGGACUGCAUAUAGUUUCGUGUAUGGAGAUAACAGUACUGCAUGGAGAUAAUGAGGUUUCUUUAAGACAGGGGAGGUUCCUACAAAAGCCCUGGAUUUUAAGUGGGGUUUAAGGGGUUAACUCCUCUAAAGACACAACUUAACAUCAAAUCCAGUUCUGGAGUGCUGCCUGAUCCUCCCUGCCUCACAGAAAGUCCAGAUUCCUUUAGCAGGUCCCACACAUGGCAGCAGAGGAAGACUCCAAACUGAGACUUUUAAAC